rnacentral:rRNA from 1 species
GGCCAGACUCCUACGGGAGGCAGCAGUGGGGAAUAUUGCACAAUGGGGGAAACCCUGAUGCAGCGACGCCGCGUGAGUGAAGAAGUAUUUCGGUAUGUAAAGCUCUCUCAGCAGGGAAGAAAAUGACGGUACCUGACUAAGAAGCCCCGGCUAACUACGUGCCAGCAGCCGCGGUAAUACGUAGGGGGCAAGCGUUAUCCGGAUUUACUGGGUGUAAAGGGAGCGUAGACGGCAUGGCAAGUCAGAUGUGAAAGCCCGGGGCUCAACCCCGGGACUGCUCUUGGAACUGCGCGGCUGGAGUGCAGGAGGGGCAGGCGGAAUUCCUGGUGUAGCGGUGAAAUGCGUAGAUAUCAGGAGGAACACCGGUGGCGAAGGCGGCCUGCUGGACUGCGACUGACGUUGAGGCCCGAAAGCGUGGGGAGCAAACAGGAUUAGAUACCCUAGUAU